UACGUAGGGGGCAAGCGUUGUCCGGAAUCAUUGGGCGUAAAGCGCGUGUAGGCGGCUAGGUAAGUCUGCUCUGAAACCCCGGGGCUCAACCCCGGAACUGCAUCCGAUACUGCGUGGCUAGAGGUAGGUAGGGGAGAUCGGAAUUCCUGGUGUAGCGGUGAAAUGCGCAGAUAUCAGGAGGAACACCGGUGGCGAAGGCGGAUCUCUGGGCCUUACCUGACGCUCAGGCACGAAAGCUAGGGGAGCGAACAGG
rnacentral:rRNA from 1 species